UGGACCACGAUCAUCACCUUCGCGGUGUCGGUCAUUCUGGUGCUGCGGUUCGAUCCGGGCCAGCCGGGCUUCCAGUUCGUCGAGAAGACGGCCUGGCUCGCCAACGGCAUCGGCUAUCACAUGGGUGUGGACGGCAUUUCGCUGCCGUUCGUAAUCCUGACCACGGCACUGAUGCCGUUCUGCAUUCUCGCAAGCUGGAAGUCGGUCACACUGCGCGUGCGCGAGUACAUGAUGGCGUUUCUUUUCCUUG
rnacentral:misc_RNA from 1 species